GAAGAGAACCCUAAUAUUUUAACACUUAAGAAUUUUGGGGAGGGAAUCCUUGAUCAAAACUGUGUAUGUACUUUGCAUGUUUAUAAAUCCUAAAAUUCUUGGGAUACUGAGGCAUAGGACUAUGCAUUUAAGUCAAUCCUGAGCUAUGUAGAUGCUGUCUUAAAUGAAACAAAUACUAUUAAGUAACUAAAUAAAUCAGGGUUUCAACUAAAAACAGGAGCUACUAGUAGUGCCUUAGUGGUGGUUUUGCCUUGAAGCAGCCCUUGCUACCUCUGUAAGUCUUCCUAAGCUGCAUCUUUGAAGAGAAAAAAAAUGAAAAAUAUGAUUCCACUAUCCCUUCUGGUCCUCUAUUUCAGUGGUUUCCAAGAGACAGCUCUUAAUUUGAAUCAUGUCAGCUGGACUACCAAAACAAAAACAACAGAAAACUUAAGGUGUGAAUGAAAGUCAAGGGGUGUGUGUGUGUGUGUGUGUGUGUGUGUGUGUGUGUGUGUGUGUGUAAAAUUGAAAUACCCAUGGGCCAUUUUCACAUCUUGCUUUUGACAGUGACAGCCACAACAAACAGAUGGCUGCUGCUGACAAGGACUGCAACAUUAAACCUAAUGAUAAUUAAUGUUUUAUAGUUUUCUGUUUUUAAGAAAGAGACUUCACACAUGAAGAGGUUCUACUUGAUCCCCACAGCAGAACUGAAACCAAAGACUGUAACUAGUCCAUCCCUGGUCCGAUUGAAGAGACUAAGGCUUCUAGAAGUGGAGGCUAGGGCUGGUGAGUUAGGUCGGCAGGCAUAUGGAAACUCCAAGCUCACACUGCUGUCUGCCAAGAAAAGGGAAGAUUUGCAGUAAGGAGAAUAAUGAAUGAAGCUUUAUGGUACACCACAGGGACUAAGCUGCACAAAAUACGUUCUACUGACUCCCUUCCUGUGGUGAACAAACAUUUCCUUAUACCUCCCACCCCCAGGAAAAAUAAGGCACCAAUUACAAACUAUGCGAUGAAAACUAUACGAACACAAUCAUCUUUGCACUGUACAUACUAUAUGUGCGUACGAACAGACCACACAAGUAAGUGUCAAUCGGUACAUAUAUACCAUGUAUGCAUGUCAAUAACUACUUCUUAAGAGUUCUUACUAUGUAAUAUGUUAAAGUGCUCUUUCAGAAAAAUAAAGCAUGAGGACCCACAAAUACUAUCUCAAUUAAUACCCUAUUUUCAAAUCUAUUAAACUACUUUGAUUUCACUUAUUACUAAAAUACUGAUCCUUCAACUGAAUUAUUGUGAUCCUCUAA